GGAACAGCUUGAUCUACCGUUUCUGCGCCUAUUGAACUUUCUGAAGAGUUUCCAAUUGCUUCACGAUAAAGAGCUACUUCGUACUCUAAUCGUCCUGGUGUUUCUUCAACAAUACCUGAUACACGCGCACCAUGAGGACUCAAAACCAGCAGCUUUAUGUCUCAAAAGUGUUGGUUCAGGUGGUCUGCACAUUAGAAUCAACUCUUGAUCUGCCAGCAUGACAACUCCAGGAAAAGCCGGAAACCAUAUUCUCAGAUUCCACACCGUGAAAAAUCAGUUACUUUCAAAAAGUAAUUAUCUUCUAAUGCAUCUGCUGGAUCAGGCCGUAUUUGACAUUGAAUAUCAGUCAGCGGGUCAGCAGCUCGAUCAUCAGCAAAGAGCGGUGAACCUUUGAAUCCAACCGGCCGUCUGAUUUUAGCAGUAAGAAGGUUUACUGGUAAUUGUGAUAAAUUACAAUCAUCUGUACGCGUGACUAAAAAGGUGUGAGUAAAGCACGUGCCUCGGGAAUCUAUAAUUAUUAAGCGUUUAACUUGGAAUAAUCGCAUAGCUGUACUCUCUCAAUCUUUUACUGCAUAAGCAUCAAGCCAAGUCACGCAUUCGCACCGUAUCUAAAUUGAUAAAAAUUCCCGAUGGACUGAACGUUAUGGUGCAGACACUUGUUAAGCCCCCCGCGGACAGUUGGAAUAAGUAGUGAAGAAGGGAAGUAAAGAAAUAAGGAAUCACCAGCCACCAGCCCAACCGUAGAGUACUGUUAAUGCAUGCCUGGUGCCUCAGCUAACAACCAUUCUGCUCGUAAGCAUAAGUCCUCUUCUUCUCUUACUUCUUCAAUGUUCACACACAGAAGAAGAUAUAGUAUACAUAAUAGUAUCGCUUCGAACAAGACCCAUGACGACUUUAGACUUAUACUAAUUCUAUGUUUCAGCUGGUCGUUUUUUUCUUUUAAUGUUACCGUUAAUUUUGUAGCAUAAUUUUACUAAUUUUAUGUGACGAUCCAAUAACCAAAAUCUAAGAAAGACAGUAGUAACCGAGUAGAGUACUAAUUUUGCUUUAACUG